GACUCUCUGCAGUGUACCAUGCAGUCGAGCGGAGCGGCAGAGUAUUGGCUACUUUUGCCGGCGAGCGGGGCACGGGAGAAUUAUGCCUGGAAAAUUGCCCACUCGAGGGGGAUAACAGGUGGAAUCAACUGCUAAUACCGCACAAGCCCUACGGGGGAAAGCGGGGGACCUUCGGGCCUUGCGCGAGUGGAUAUGCCCAGGUGGGAUUAGCUAGUUGGUGAGGUAAUGGCUCACCAAGGCCAAUAUCCCUAUGUGGUCUGAGAGGAAGAUCCCCCACACUGGAUCUGAGACGCGGUCCAGACUCCUACGGGAGGCAACAGUGGGAAAUAUUGCACUAUGGGGGAAACCCUGAUGCACACGUGCCGCGUGUGAAAAGAACGCCUUCGGGUUGUAAACCACUUUCUGCGAGGAAGAAACGUCCGGAGUUAAUACGUGUUGACUGACACGUUACUAGGAAAAAACACCCCGGAUAACUCCGUGCCCGCCCCCGCGGUUAUACGGAGGGUGCAAGCUUUAAUCACAUUUACUGGGCGUAACGCGCAUGCGUGCGGAUGAAUCUUUUUUAUGUAGAACCCCCGGUCUCAACGUGAGAAUCUGCAUGUAAAAUCUGUCCAGCGAGAGUCGUCGUAGAGGGGGGGUAGAUUUCCAGGUGUCGCGGAGAAAUGUGUAGAUAUCUGGGAGGAAUCCGGGUGGAGAGGGCGGCCCCGUGGACACAGACUGACGCUCAGGUGAGAAAGCGUGGGGAGCAAACAGGAUUAGAUCCCGUGAUAGUCCACGCUGUAAACGAUGUAGAUUUGGAGGGUGUGUCUUUGAGACGUGGCUUCCGGAUAUAACGCGUUAAAUCGACCGCCUGGGGAGUACGUCGCCAAGGUUAAAAUUCAAAUGAAUGGACGGGGGCCCGCACAAGCGGUGGAGCAUGUGGUUUAAUUCGAUGCAACGCGAAGACCCUUACCUGUCCUUGACAUCUCGGGAAUCUUGCAGAGAUGCUGGAGUGCCUUCGGAAAUCAGAACCAAGGGGUGCCAUGGCGUUGUUCAGUUCUUUUCUUGAGAGGUUGGGUUAAUUCCCGCAACGAGCGCACCCCCUUUCUUUUUUUCCCACCACGUAAUGGUGGGAAUUCAAGGGAGACUGCCGGUGAUAAACCGGAGGAAGGUGGGGAGGACGUCAAGUCAUCAUGGCCCUUACGGCCAGGGUUACACACUUGUUACAAUGGAGGGUACAGAGGGUUCCAAGCCAGGGAUAGUGAGCGAUUCCCAAAAAGCUCUUUCUAUUCGGGAUGGGAUUUUGCAAUUGGAUUCCAGGAAUUGGGAAUCGUUGGUAUUCGCAAUUCACAAUGUUGCGGUGAAUACGUUCCCGGGCCUUGUACACACCGCCCGUCA
rnacentral:rRNA from 1 species